rnacentral:rRNA from 1 species
UACAGAGGUCCCAAGCGUUGUUCGGAAUUACUGGGCGUAAAGGGCUCGUAGGUGGCCAACUAAGUCAGACGUGAAAUCCCUCAGCUUAACUGGGGAACUGCGUCUGAUACUGGAUGGCUUGAGUUUGGGAGAGGGAUGCGGAAUUCCAGGUGUAGCGGUGAAAUGCGUAGAUAUCUGGAGGAACACCGGUGGCGAAGGCGGCAUCCUGGACUGGUCCUGACACUCAGGAGCGAAAGCGUGGGGAGCGAUCCGG